rnacentral:rRNA from 1 species
CCUGGGGAGUACGGCCGCAAGGCUAAAACUCAAAGGAAUUGACGGGGGCCCGCACAAGCGGCGGAGCAUGCGGAUUAAUUCGAUGCAACGCGAAGAACCUUACCAAGGCUUGACAUGCACUGGAUCGCCGCAGAGAUGUGGUUUUCUUUUUGACUGGUGUACAGGUGGUGCAUGGUUGUCGUCAGCUCGUGUCGUGAGAUGUUGGGUUAAGUCCCGCAACGAGCGCAACCCUCGUUCUAUGUUGCCAGCACGUGAUGGUGGGAACUCAUGGGAGACUGCCGGGGUCAACUCGGAGGAAGGUGGGGAUGACGUCAAAUCAUCAUGCCCUUUAUGUCUUGGGCUUCACGCAUGCUACAAUGGCCGGUACAGAGGGUGGCGAUACCGUGAGGUGGAGCGAAUCUCUUAAAGCCGGUCUCAGUUCGGAUCGUAGUCUGCAACUCGACUACGUGAAGUCGGAGUCGCUAGUAAUCGCAGAUCAGCAAUGCUGCGGUGAAUACGUUCCCGGGCCUUGUACACACCGCCCGUCAAGUCACGAAAGUCGGUAACACCCGAAGCCGGUGGCCUAACCUGUGGGGAGCC